UACGUAGGGGUCGAGCGUUGUCCGGAUUUAUUGGGCGUAAAGGGUGGGCAGGUGGCCGGUGAUGUGCCGUGUGAAAGCGCCGUAGUUAUGACGGCGAGGUCGCGGUAGACACAUCGGCUUGAGGCAGUGAGGGGGCGGUGGAAUUCCCGGUGUAGCGGUGAAAUGCGCAGAUAUCAGGAGGAACACCGGUGGCGAAGGCGGUUCUCUGGGCAUGAUCUGACGCUGAGGAGCGAAAGUGUGGGGAGCGAACAGG
rnacentral:rRNA from 1 species